GGUCUGCGCCGGGGCCUGGGCCUGGAGUCCGGUGUGGUCGGGCGUUCGACUCGCGCGACUCCCCGCCCGAGGGCCCACCGGGCUCCGGCUGGAAGCCGCCCAGGGUGCGGCAGCGAAACUUUGGCCCGGUUGCAACCACAGUGGCGUUUAGGCCGGACGCUCUUGCUCCCGUUUCACGGAGCGGUCGAAAUCCGUAGACGUUUCUAAUGCGUUCUACCGGUAGCCCAGCCCUCUUCGUCCUCAGCCUCUAUUCGUGCUCACUUUUCUCCCAGGCAGGUAGCUCCAGGGGCCUCCUGUCUCUCUCCUCCCCACCCUAUCCCGUUUUCCCUUGAGCAUCCCCUGCUGCUUGCCAGGUGUGCCUUUAGUGAGAACCCGAUCUUUCCAGCACUUUUUUUCCUGCUGGUGAAGACAAACCCACAUGCUUUUAGUUUUCAGGGUUUUGUUAUCGAUCAGUUUCAUCCAUAGGUAGUGCUUACAUAGCACGUGCUACGUGCCAGCCAUGAUGUUUAGUGGGUUUAUGUGCAUUAAUUCACCCAGUCUUUGGAACAGCUCUAAACUUAAUCUUAUUAUACUAUCACUAAUUUGCAAAUCAGAAAACUGAGAUCUGAGGCAAAUUAAGUAAAUUGACUAAAGUUAUACAGACAACACACUGCCUGAUCAUGAACUGAAUUAUCUUUAAAAUUAUUAUUGGUACAUAAUCAAAGCAAAGUAUCACAAAGUUUCAUAAUUAUUCAAUAGAACGUAACACUUCUGGGGAAAUGCAUCUCGCUGAAAUGGAUAUUGUUGCUUUUUAAAAUUCAUAAAUCUGUGAAUGAUUAUAUCUUAUUGCUGGGACGGGAAGGAUUGAGCAUCAAUACCACUCUUAAGUUUUAGUUUUUAUAACUGUAUGGCCUUAGAAACGGUGUAUAAACAAGUACUAUACCUGGUAAUCCUAAUCCUACUGUAGCAACGUUGUAACUGAGCAGGGUCCUGUGAGGCUCCUGGGCACACAAGCCUUUCUGUGUCCUUCAUUUCCCGUUUUUAAGGAAUAAGCUUCAGGGAAGGUCUUGGAGGCUGAGGCUUAGUCCCUAAAAACAAGAAAUGAAGGACACAGAGAGUCUUGUUUGCCCGCGAUCUUCACAGGGCACUAGCUCGGUUACAUGCUUAAUAUUGUUAUUUAGUGUUUGUCAAAAUAUUUAAAGUAUUGAUUAUCCUGUUAUAAGAUAGUAUAUGGCUCCUGUAAAAUGUGUUUUAAUUAUUUUCACAGAAAACUGAAGAAAAAAAUUAAAAAUCAAUUACUAUGCCUUCACCCAGAGAUAACGACCAGUAACAACUGGGGUUUAUUUCCUUCCAGUCUUUUUUCUUUUCUUUUUUUUUUGUCUUUUUGCUAUUUUUUUGGGCCACUUCCAUGGCAUAUGGAGGUUCCCAGGCUAGGCGUCUAAUCGGAGCUGUAGCCGCAGGCCUCCGCCACAGCCACAGCAACGCAAGAUCCGAGCCGAGUCUGCGACCUACACCACAGCUCACAGCAACGCCGGAACUUUAACCCACUGCGUAAGGCCAAGGAUCGAACCCGCAACCUCAUGGUUCCUGGUCGGAUUCGUCAACCCCUGCGCCACGACGGGAACUCCAUUUUCCAGUCUUUUUUCCACUCAAGUCAACAGGAAUGACAUGUAUUUUAAAGAGACAGGAUUCUAUCAUAGAAGCACAUCGGAAUCCUGACUUUUAUGCUUAAUAUUCUCUUUGUUAGCAUUUCUCAUGGCACUCAAUAGUCUUUAAGAUACAAUAAGUUCAUUUUUAUCACAUUUUAAACUCCACAUAUAAGUGAUAUCAUGACAUUUGUCUUUAUCUGACUUAUUUCACUUACUAGGAUGAUCUCUAAGUCCUUCCAUGUUGCUGCAAAUAGCAUUAUCUUUUUAUGGCGAAUAUCCCAUUUGUGUGUGUAUGUAUAUAUACAUACAUAUAUCUUACGUUCUUAUUCAUUCAUAUGUUGAUGGACAUUUAGGUUGCUUCCAUGUUUUGAUGAUUGUAAAUAAUGUUGCAAUGAACGUAGGGGUCCAUGUAUCUUUUUGAAUUAGAGCGUUCUCUGGAUAUAUGCCCAGGAGUGGGAUUGCUGGAUCAUAAGGUAGCUUUAUUUUUAGUUUUUUAAGGGACUUCCAUACUGGUCUCCACAGUGGCUACAUCAAUUUACAUUUACGCCAACAGUGUAAGAGGGUUCCUUUUCUCCACACCUUUCCAGCAUUUAUUAUUUGUAGACUUUUUGAUAAUGGCCAUUCUGACUGGUGUGAGGUAAAAACUUCAUUAUAAUUUUGAUUUUGAAGUUUAAAUAUGACUUUUAAUGAGUGCAUGGUGCUCUAGUCUGUGCUGUAUCAUAGUUUGUUUAACCACUUGUGGAACUUAUUGCAUGAAAUUCCCUGUUUUUGAUUUAAAAGCAGAUGAGUGAGACAUUUUAUACCUCCCAAAGGGGAGGGGGGAAAUCAACAAUUCUAAAUGAGUUGCUUUUGUUCAAAGCUCUCAAUUGCUUUCUCCUUCUGUGGGUCAGAGACUCUCACAAGGGAGAAAAGCAUGUCUCUGUACCCUGAUCAUGUUGAUUUAAUUACCGUCUUUGUCUAGAGAUUUCCUUUGUUCUCCUGUAUCCACACCAGUGGAGAAUCCACUUCAUUCUGUGCCUUUCCCCCCUGCCACCAAUGUCGUCUUAAAAUCCAAUUGCUUGCUCCUGUUGCCUGCCUUGUGGGGACCCAACCCCCACCCCUCCCUGCACUGGUUUUGCUCAAAAUCCUCCCGAAGCAGAAAAGGUACCUGCUGGGCACUUGCUCAGCAUUGCCAGAGAGGACAAAGAAAACCUUGUUCAUUGUUUGAAGCUGGCACUUUACAGUUUACCAAUCCUUAUCUGCCCUGGGAAAGGUAGAGAGAAAAUGUUUCUGAGUUCCUAGGUGACUGACUCACAGUGUUGGAAUCGCAAAUCAGACCUGGUGCUGGGAAUUGUUUUCAGUUGCAAGGAUGAGAUGGUACAUGUACCACAGACUUUGAUGGCAAAGAGACCUCUGCCGGAAUCACCUUUGCCCUAACUUGUGGAAUGCUAGGUAGAUAAUUCAUGGAAACCACCUGUGCCUCAAUUUCCUCAUCUGUAUCUCAGGAAUAAUCCUAGGUCCUGACUCAUAGGCUUGGGCAAGGAUUUAAAAAGACAUAAUGCAGAGUUCCUGUUGUGGCUCAGGGGAAACGAAUCCAACUAGUAAGCAUGAGGUGGUGGGUUUGAUGCCUGGCCUCGCUCAGUGGGUUAAGGAUCUGGCGUUGCCAUGAGCUGUGGUGUAGGUGGAAGAUGUGGCUUGCAUCCUGUGUUGCUGUGGCUGUGGUGUAGGCCUGUAGGUACAGCUCUGAUUUGACCUCUAGCCUGGGAACCUCCAUGUGCCUCGGGUGCAGCCCUAAAAAGCAAAAAAAAAAAAAAAAAAAAAAA
rnacentral:lncRNA from 1 species